CAGCACGCUUUGAUAUCCUGCUCUUUGUCUGUUGAGAGCAGUGAUAUUUUUAAUGUGCUAAAGUAGAGCUGGAGGUUAAUUAGCAGAUGGUCUAACUACAUUUGCCAUAACUGCCAGUCCCCUCCAUACACUG